CGGCGGUGUGUGGGUGGGGGAGUGGCCGCCCACCGCCUGGCAUGGCGUGUCGCUGCCCGCCACCGCGGCGACAGGCCUGCCGGGGGUGGCGUGCGGCAAGGGCAGGCUGCUGACGCCCCCGUGACAAGAGGAGACACGCAUGGAGGCACGCCGCGGGAGAUGCACCAUGCCGGUGGCAGGCGGCAGAGCACAGAAAAGGGUCAAUGAGAGGACCACCAACCACAACCUGGACCCCGGCAGCCUCCAGCACCACCGCGAUGUCCUGCAGGAGGUGGCCGGCUGGCACAUGGAGGACUGGGAGGAGCUUGAGGCACUGCUGGAGACUGAACACCUUAUCCUGGGCCAGCCAUAUCAGCCCCAGCAGCACCAGCAGCAGCAACAUCAUCGCUCGGACAUCAACCUCCUCCAGAGUCCAGAGCGCACCCCACGGCUGCCCCACGAAGCACCACCCUCCCGCAGCAGUUCUCGGCGCUCCCUCCCACGCACACACGGCGCCUACUCUCUCCCCCUUCAGCAGCUGUCCUCCAUCCUCCUCAACAUGACCUUCUCGGACGCUGAGGAUGAGCACCAGGGGACGGGACGGAACACAAGCAACAGCCAGGACCGAUCCCUGAGCCGCUCCCGCACAGAGUCGGGGGUGAGCAACGCCUCCACCGUCUCCCUGGCCAGCCCCUCCUCCUCUGCCGGGCCUGCCGCUGCUGCCAAUGGGCCCAUGGCUGCCUCGGGGAGUGCCGCCGGGGCCCUGGACAUUGCUGCCGCCCAAAAUGCCUCGGUAGUUGAUGUUUCAGGCGUUGACAAGAAGAAGAUUGUGGAGAAGCUGCAGCAGAUCCAGGGCUACAUACAGCAGACCACAGCAGCCAUGGCAGCCCUAGAGCAGCAGGGAGACAUUGGCUUGCAAAGUGAUAUAUAUGCUCGCUAUGUCAACCUCAACAAGUCGCUUCAGCACCAGGAGGAGGAGUACCUGGACAUUCUCGCUCGCUCCCUAGUCCUUAACAAGGCUGCAGCACAGGUGGCCAACGGAACACAGCACCCAAGCACAGCACCAAGCAGCGUCUCCCCAGCAUCAGCACAAGUCAACGGCCGCGAAGAGACGGCCCCAGAGGAAGGCAGCCGCGUGGUGGGUGUGGUCGGCUCAGAGAACGUUCGCACGCUACAGGACCGCCUCUCGGCCAGUCAGGAGGAGUCUGUGGCCAUCAUGAGCCAGAUGAGGGCCAGCAUAGCACGCCGCGAGGACCUCCUGACACGAUAUAAGGCCACCCAGGAGCGCCUUGCCAACCUUAAGCGGCAGAGGCAGGGUAUUCAGGAGGAGAAGCAGCGCCUCAUCCAGCAGGGGGCCAAUCCCAACGGUGCCGGGCAGGAGGACGAGGACCCCAUCCCUGGCGCCGACACCUGGACCCUCUCGGAGCUGACGAAGGCGCUGGUGGACUUCCAGGCUCUGCAGGACAAGGUGGAGCGACUGACGGCUGUGUACUCGACCAGGGCCCAGGGUGUGGAUCCUGAUGACGCGGAAAGCCAGGCGGACGUGGCCAGCAAACUCGGCCAGCUGGCAACCAAGAGGCGGCAGCUGGCGGACGUGCUCACCAGACUCAAGGGCUACCAGGCUCUUAGGCAGCAGGAGGAGAGAGAUGGCCUGGAUGGUGUGGGUGGCAGUGGGCGCUCCACCUCCACUGCUCCAGCCGGUGCUUCGGACGCUAACCACCUCCCAGCCUCCUCCAACACCCACACCACAACGACAAGCGACGAACCAGCACCUCCACCACCUCCACCACCUCCCUCUGCCUCACUCUCGGCCUCCGUGUCCAACAUCAACGGGGAGGGACAUCCAGUUAGCCCGGCCAGCCUGAGGGAGGCGGCGAACUCGGUAACCCAGGCCUCGGAGGAGCUGGUGAACCGCAAGGCACAGCUCAACUCUCUCCAGAAGCAGCUGAGCGACAUGAAGAAGCUCCUCGAUGUGGCUAACAAGGCCCGACAGGAGUUCGGGGAUGACGGCGCCGGUGCCCUUCCCUCCACCAGUGCCGCCGCUGACGUGCCCACUGAGAUCCUGGAGGUGUCGGGCAAGAGGAUUGUCCUGACGGAGGCUGAGAGACAGAACCCAGAGAUUGCUUCAAAGUAUAGUCAGCUAUCCCGGGCCAAGGAUCGUCUGGCCAAGAUGGAGGAAAUAAUAGCCAUGAUCAGCCAGGCAAGACACACCGGCCAGAACCUGCGUGACGUCAUCCCCCCGGACUACCUGGCCAUCCUGGAGGAGGCGGAGAACAACCCACAGGCGGAGUUUGCAGCUGAGUCAGGCGGCCCCGGUCCCCUCAGCCGCGCCUCAGCUCCCCUGCAGAGGCCCCUGGAGGUUGAGGAGGAGGAGGUAGGCAGGCUCUCAAGGCGCCCCACUCGUCCCCCACGCAUGGGCAGCAUGGGGCGGGGUGAGGCUGGGGCCGGGGCAGGAGCAGGUCGGGACUCACAGGUACGGGAACAGGAGAGCCGGGAGAUCUCGGCCAUGCAGCAGCGCCUCAACAAGAACAGCACGAGGGUGUCCGCCAUCAACGAGGGCUCGCAACACGGACAUGAGAAGGGCGCCAUCAAGAAGCAGCCCCAGGCACUAUGGCAGGGCAGCAGCAGCGGCGGCGGCGGCGGGGUUGCCAGCAGCGGGGUGGGCGGGGUGAGGGAGGACCCACGUCUCGCCCAGGUGUUGGCCAUGCAGGAAGAGCUGCGUCAGAAGAAGAACGCCCUGGAGGCCCUCAUGAGGCGCAUGGGCAAGUCCUCCUCCCUCAACAUGGACAACAUAUCCGACAACAUCUCCGACAAUGUCUCCGAGGCAUCCGACCGCCUGGGGGACGUGCGCGGCAGUGGGGGGGCGGCCACCUGGGGGGAGGCUGGGGGGCUGCACCACUUCUCCGAUAACCACUAUCAGCAGUCCAGUGACGAGGACUUGAUAGACGAGGAUGAGGCGGACCUUCCCCCCCGAGGCAGCCAGCUCCGCCCUCAGCAGCCGCCACCCAUCGCAGUCUCCCCCAAGGACCGCAACCGCCACUCCACCAGCCGCCACCGCCGCCGCCAGGACUCGGGGCGCCUCUCGGUGAACAACCUGACGGCCGCGACCCUCCCCACCCCCGCCAGGACCAAGCACAACCGCCUUAGGGCCAGCAGUGCUCCCAAGGCCCUGUGGGAGUCUGUGGGCACUCCGCUAGAUGGCAGCAACUAUAAGUCUCCCUCCAACACCACCAUGCAGACCCAGCACAGCCUCAAUGCUGCACUCAGCCAGCUCACCCAGGUGCAAGGAACCAUCAACAACCUGCAGGAGAGUCUUCGCCACGAGCAGAGUCAGGUGCUGGGGAGCUCCCGGGCGUCCCUCUACCAGCCCCAGCUCGUGCCGCCCCUCCUGCCCGACCUCACCCCCACCUCGCUGCCCCCCAUGGUGACCCCCAGCCAGGCCCUCACCCCCAUGUCUGCCUACGCUGGCCUUGGCUCCCUCGCCCUUGCUGCUCAGGGUGGCGGCGAGGCAGUGAACCAGCAGCUGUUGUCGGGCCUGCAGCAGUGCUUCUCCCAGCUCCACCUACACUCCCUUGAGAUACAGGCCCUGAGCAAGCAUCUGCAGCUUCUGGAGAGGCGAGACCAGACCAGCUCGGCCGCCAUGGCUGAUGUGGGGGACGGCCUUGGGAGGGGCGGGCGGGGCGGCGCACGGAGGAGUGAAGAGGAAGAGGAGGAGGAGGACAAUGAGGAUGAUGAUGUGGCAGGAGACCCCCGCCCUCCUUACCCUCUCCACCACAACCUCUUGGCUGCGGCCGGCCUGCGCCCUGGGAAGGAGGGGGGCUCUAGCCGGGCACCCCAGGGCUCCGCCUACCCCGUAUACCUGAGGCAGCAGUCCGAGAGUGGCGCUCCCUCCUCAGGCGUCACCAACCCCAUUUAUGGCCACCUGGGGGACCUGCGAGACCAGACUGGGGGCACCUGGGGCUCCCUUGCUCCUACCCCAGGCACAGAGCAGCCCACAGACACCCUGGGCUCGCUCCUAGGCCCAGGUGCCCCAGGGGAGGCUCUGGAGGGCAGCUCAUCACACCCAUUGCUGCAUCUGGGCCGUAUGGGGGAGGAGGCCAGCCAGACACAGGCCCCUGAGGCACACCACUGGGCCUCCCUCGCCUCCACACACCCACUGCACCACCAGACCACAGACCUGCUCAACAACCAGGUUCCUCCAGGCACACGCGCCAACAACUACUGGGACAACUUCCGCAGUUACUCCCGCCAGAACCUGCUCUCCACGGCCACCAAGAGCAACACCAGCGACCUCCACCCCCCCUCCACCACCUCCACCUCGGCCCCUGCCCACACCGCCUCCUUCGCCCUCCACCAGGGUCGGGAGGGUGGCCGAGGCGAGGACAAGCGUUUCAACGUCUCGCUGGGCCACAACAACACCAACAGCGGGGCCGGUGCCAGAUCCAGGAUGCCCAACCCCCACAUCAACAACCCCAGAGGUGCCGCCAACCCCCGUGUGAGGAACCCUGUGGCCGCCAGCUCCCAGCACCUCCUCAGCCAGAACAAACACAAGGCAAACAACAGGAACAAGCAAGGUGACUUAUGGGUGACCUCCAAGGGCAGCGAGAGGAACCUGCCGCCCCAAGACCGAGGCUCAGGGGGCAGGAACCUGGGUGGUUACCUCAACUACAACACUGUGCGCGCCAACACCAGCGACAGUGAUGGUGCUGAGGGAAGCGGUGUGACCCUGGAGGUGCUGCGUGAGGCCGAGGCGCUGAUCCGCCGCCAUGCCAACCAGCCAGAGUUCCUGCUGCAGCUGUUCCGCCACGCCUCGCAGAUCACUGUGCACACCGACCAGCACGUGGCCGUGGCGCUCCUGCACGACCUUGCCUCCCAGCCACACCGACCCGGCAGCCAUGGAGUGAAUGCCAACCCUGGGCCGGGUGUCCACGGCCAUGCCGAGGGGACUGUUGGCCUCUCCCUGCCAGCCCCCCUCAGAGACUCGUGGAGGCCCCAGCCCCCACGCAGUCACCCCCAGAACACCCUCCCACAGGACAAUGUGAGUGUGGUGGGGCUGUCAGGGUCAGAGGUCAGCGAUAGUGGCCUGACCUCAGAGGACGAGGACAGCAGGGCUCUUUAUCGCAACGUCAAGAACCUCAGUCUCAGCCCAGGGGGAGCAGUACCCCCCCCUGCACCUCCGGGAGGCGUGAACACAGGUGGCAGGCCCCCGUACCCCCAACCACCACCGCCCCUCCACCCCCACUACCAACACAACUACCAUGAAUUCCCCCACCACCGCCAGCACAACCUCGUCCACCCCCACAACACACAGGGAGGGGAGAGCGCCCGCAGCGGUGCCAAUUCUGAGAGUUCUCUGUAUGAUCAUCUGGUGUUUAACGACUCCCACCUGGCCACUAGACAAGAGGUGGUGGAGGACUGGGUGCGGCGAGGGGUGGAGGAGGAGGAAGAGGAGGACGAGGCAGGGCCCAGCAAGCUUCUGAACCAGGCGGACACAGCAGGAUCUUCCCCCGAGGACGCCCACAACCUCAUCCAUCCACUAAACAACGACACUGAGUACCUCACCUUUGAGACUCUGGUGGCCUCCGCCGUGAGGGAGGGCACGGAGGUACUGCAGGCCCAGGCGUGUGAAGACGUUGCCUCCCCGCUUCUGCUGAAUUCCCUCCACCACAGCCUAGUGGCCCACAUCCAGACCCGAGCCCAGUCCCUGCGGCUGCCCCAGACCUUCCUCUACUCCACCGACACUGAACUCAAGUCUGCCCUCCAAGCCUUCUCUGGCAAACCGCUGUCCCAGGUGAGCAGCGACGUGCCGUCACUCAUCUCCCAGGUGCUGCUGACCCAGUACUGCUCGGUGCUGGUGCAGCGUCUGCGCGACAACCAGCCGCUGCUGCCUCAGACGCCCACCAAGCUGCCGCCCGGUGCCCCGCCCAAGGCUGGUGAGGUGGGUCUGGAGGGUGCCGCUGCCACCCCCACAGCUGGCCCCCCAGAGUGCCGCCCCCCCCAGGAGGCCACCACAGCUACCCAGACUGAAGCCGGAGUGUUCUCCCUCCACCCCCAGAGGCCGCCCCUCCACACCUUCAGCCUCACCACCGGGGCUGCUGCCGCCCACCCACCCCCAUCAGCCUCCCUGUCAGCUACCACCCCUGCUGACAGUCCCUGGCAGGCCCCUCCACCCCCCCCUGCCCCCCUGCCCUCCCCCAACCACAACCCUAGUGGAGGGGAGUCCCUGGCAGAGAGUGCAGCCUGCGCCGGUGGGCCUCUCCCUACUGCCCCGUCUGGCUCCUGGAGUGCCGAGGGCUUGGCCUCCCCUGCCUCACCCCUGGGGGCUGGCCGGGGAGAGGCAGAGCAGGAGGAGGCCAUGAUGGAUGAGCUGGGUGAGCCAACACUGGUCCACACACUGGCUGAGGCUGACCAGUCCCAGGACGCAGUGGAGGGUGACUGGGGUGAGGACUCCCAGGCGGAGGGCAUCAUGCAGCCUGAGGUCAGUGGGGGGGCAGUGGGCGGGUCCUCCCACACCCACUCCCCACCCCAACACCCUGGAUGGCUGCCGGCAAGGGAACGACACAACUCCUCGCAGCUGGAAGCAGAGGCGGAGGUGGAGGGACUGGUGGAGAGUGAGGCGGAGGCGGCUGCUCUCGGGGCCGGCCACCUCCUCUUCAUGGACCAGCAGAGUCAGGAGCUGGACGAGGUGCCCACCAAGCUACAGAGUCCCCAGGGUGGCUCUCCUAGUGACAGCCCCGAGCAGGCCCUUCCCCAGCAGCACCACCCCCACCACCCCCAGCGCCCUCAUUCACCCGCUGGUCAGUGAGAGUGAGGGACGGGUGGGUGAAGGAGGAGAGAGAGGGUGAACUUAAAGCUUAGAUCGUUGGAGCGAAGGGUGACUGAAACAGGCCCGUAGCUGCUCCUUCUCACGCUGUCGAAGGAAGAAGCAGAGGAGAAGGCAGUGGCAACCCGUGGAAGGCAAGAAACUUCCAAGCAUAACUGAGGAGCCCUAUAAAGGGUUGCACAGAGACACAUUGGUAUUUGAGGACGACGAGGAGUUAAGUGACGAGGGGCUGCAGGAACAACAGGCAUGUGUGGUGAGCAGCCCAGUACUCAUGCUGGGCUCCUGUUUGGUGAGCUUCUUCACUCUUUUCAUGUGCAAGAUGAGAUACAAUCAACCCACAACCCAACACUGAAGGCCAGAAUCAACCUCACCAGCCACUCAACCAGCCAGGUCAACAGGCAAAACAUGUAUGAGAAGCACUGUUAUGAUUUUGUGGGUCAACCAGGUAUGCACAUUCCACGCCAGCUGUUAGGUGAUUCAUGUUACACCAUCACAGAAGGAGUUUGGCUGAGCUGAAUAGAGAAGUAAGAUCACCCCUUCCCUGAGUCAACAUUGAGGUAUACUAUUUGUGUAUCGAAUAUUCUUAGCAACAAUUCUAUCGCUGUUAGGAAAUCCCUCUGCCAAAUGUUACGUGUAGGAUUUGUUGUUCAGUGUUACCAGCCAGUCCACACGGCCGGCAUGCCUCGCACAGGGUGUCUGUAUGGGGCGUCUUGUGUGAGCAUGGUGACGGUGUGGACGGCAAACCUGCAUCUGCUCAAACAACACUGUGGACGGUUUCUUCCUCUGGGGUCUGUUGGGUGUUCCGGGAGCUGGGAACGCUGCGCCACAGACCAAGCGAUCCAUGACAAUCAGACCUUACCACUAAAAAUUUUCAACAUGUUCUCUGUGUCGGGUUAUGUAUUGUCUGUGUGUGAUGACUGUGCCAAGGAGGAGCCGAGGGUUCAGUCCGACGAGUUUAAUGCUUUCUGAGUACAGUUAAAGUAUUAUCAAUGUACUAUUCCGUCUUACCAGUUCAACUAUAUAAUGCUUAAAGGUUUAUAUUAUUAAAUGUCUACACUG